rfam:Legionella adelaidensis strain 1762-ATS-E Lade_ctg001, whole genome shotgun sequence.
CCAGUCGGUCAGACAAUCGCUUUUUGCUAAGGCAAAAGGAGGAAAGUCCGGGCUCCAGAGGGCAAAGUGCCAGGUAACGCCUGGGAGACGUGAGUCUACGGAAAGUGCCACAGAAAAUAUACCGCCUCAUUAGAGGUAAGGGUGAAAAGGUGCGGUAAGAGCGCACCGCGCGUUUGGUAACAAACGUGGCAGGGAAAACCCCACUCGGAGCAAGACCAAAUAGGGAUCCAAUGAUUUAUUCAUACGCAUGGCCCAUGCGGGAUCCGGGUAGGUCGCUUGAGGCAAAUGGUGACAUUUGUCCCAGAUGAAUGAUUGUCCACGACAGAACCCGGCUUAUCGACCGACUUUUAUU